AUCACAUGGCAUCUUGUUAAAACGCAGACUUGGAUUCAGCAGGUCUGGGAUGAGGCCCAAGAUUCUGCAUUUUUAACAAGUUCCCAAGUGAUGCUGA
rnacentral:pre_miRNA from 1 species